rnacentral:misc_RNA from 1 species
AAGAGGCUUCUCUUUCAAAUUAGGAUUUACUGUCCCAUGUCCCAGUUUUCUGACUUCAAGGCUUCCUCUCAAAUUAUUCAGUGUAUCCAUUUCAUCUAAUCCUCCAGCAUACUUUGACACUGAAUCAUCUGUGGCUGCCAUAAACAUUGACAGAGUUUGAAGUGAAGUCAAUUGCCCAAUCCCGCGUGGCAUAUAGUGCAAACGGAGACAGCCAGCACAAUACAGAUGCCUAAGACUGAUCAAUUUUUUAAUAUCUUUAGGAAGUUUCUGUAGCCUAUGACACUCAGAGACAUUUAACACUUGCAAAUUCAGCAGGUUUGUAAUAAAAUUGGGAAGUUCUUUAAUUUUCUUAUUGCGAGAAACAUCAAGAUACCUUAGAUGUCUUAGGCUUUUUAUGAAACUGGGCACUUUUUCAAUUCCACAACUAUCCAUAUCAAAGACACGCAACUUCUUGAAGUUUGGCAAAAUAACCUUGUCUAGUGAUAUUGUA